rnacentral:rRNA from 1 species
UACGGAGGAUGCGAGCGUUAUCCGGAUUUAUUGGGUUUAAAGGGUGCGCAGGCGGCACGGCAAGCCGGCGGUCAAAUCGCGGGGCUCAACCCCGCCCAGCCGUCGGAACUGCCGGGCUAGAGUGGGCGAGAAGUGCGCGGAAUGCGUGGUGUAGCGGUGAAAUGCAUAGAUAUCACGCAGAACUCCGAUUGCGAAGGCAGCGCACCGGCGCCCUACUGACGCUCAGGCACGAAGGCGUGGGUAUCGAACAGG